rnacentral:rRNA from 1 species
UGCAGUCGACGCCCCGCAAGGGGAGUGGCAGACGGGUGAGUAACGCGUGGGAACAUACCCUUUCCUGCGGAAUAGCUCUGGGAAACUGGAAUUAAUACCGCAUACGCCCUACGGGGGAAAGAUUUAUCGGGGAAGGAUUGGCCCGCGUUGGAUUAGCUAGUUGGUGGGGUAAAGGCCUACCAAGGCGACGAUCCAUAGCUGGUCUGAGAGGAUGAUCAGCCACAUUGGGACUGAGACACGGCCCAAACUCCUACGGGAGGCAGCAGUGGGGAAUAUUGGACAAUGGGCGCAAGCCUGAUCCAGCCAUGCCGCGUGAGUGAUGAAGGCCUUAGGGUUGUAAAGCUCUUUCACCGGAGAAGAUAAUGACGGUAUCCGGAGAAGAAGCCCCGGCUAACUUCGUGCCAGCAGCCGCGGUAAUACGAAGGGGGCUAGCGUUGUUCGGAAUUACUGGGCGUAAAGCGCACGUAGGCGGAUAUUUAAGUCAGGGGUGAAAUCCCAGAGCUCAACUCUGGAACUGCCUUUGAUACUGGGUAUCUUGAGUAUGGAAGAGGUAAGUGGAAUUCCGAGUGUAGAGGUGAAAUUCGUAGAUAUUCGGAGGAACACCAGUGGCGAAGGCGGCUUACUGGUC